rnacentral:rRNA from 1 species
GAUGAACGCUGGCGGCGUGCCUAAUACAUGCAAGUCGAGCGAACAGACGAGGAGCUUGCUCCUCUGACGUUAGCGGCGGACGGGUGAGUAACACGUGGAUAACCUACCUAUAAGACUGGGAUAACUUCGGGAAACCGGAGCUAAUACCGGAUAAUAUAUUGAACCGCAUGGUUCAAUAGUGACAGACGGUUUUGCUGUCACUUAUAGCUGGAUCCGCGCCGCAUUAGCUAGUUGGUAAGGUAACGGCUUACCAAGGCAACGAUGCGUAGCCGACCUGAGAGGGUGAUCGGCCACACUGGAACUGAGACACGGUCCAGACUCCUACGGGAGGCAGCAGUAGGGAAUCUUCCGCAAUGGGCGAAAGCUUGACGGAGCAACGCCGCGUGAGUGAUGAAGGUCUUCGGAUCGUAAAACUCUGUUAUUAGGGAAGAACAAAUGUGUAAGUAACUAUGCACGUCUUGACGGUACCUAAUCAGAAAGCCACGGCUAACUACGUG